rnacentral:rRNA from 1 species
GAUGAACGCUGGCGGCGUGCUUAACACAUGCAAGUCGAACGGAAAGGCUCCUGCUUGCUGGGGUCCUCGAGUGGCGAACGGGUGAGUAACACGUGGGUGAUCUGCCCUGCACUUCGGGAUAAGCCUGGGAAACUGGGUCUAAUACCGGAUAGGACCACAUUUUGGAUGGUGUGGUGGAAAGUUUUUCGGUUUGGGAUGAGCUCGCGGCCUAUCAGCUUGUUGGUGGGGUAAUGGCCUACCAAGGCGUCGACGGGUAGCCGGCCUGAGAGGGUGUACGGCCACAUUGGGACUGAGAUACGGACCAGACUCGUACGGGAGGCAGCAGUGGGGAAUAUUGCACAAUGGGCGCAAGCCUGAUGCAGCGACGCCGCGUGGGGAAUGACGGCCUUCGGGUUGUAAACUCCUUUCGCUAGGGACGAAGCGCAAGUGACGGUACCUGGAGAAGAAGCACCGGCUAACUACGUG